UAGAGUUUGAGCUGCUUGUGAUGAUCCAUGAUGUUUCUAUGCAGUGUCUGGUUCAUUCUUCUCUUUUCAGGUGAUGCAAUUGGAGAAGGAAUAACUCCUCUCUCCUCAUCUGAACUUGUUAUUAGUGGUGACUCCAUUACUUUGGGCUGCAAUUAUGACGGGUCCUACAGCAGUGAUUCUCUCCUGUGGUAUCGUCAGAACAGCAGCUCCAAACCUGAGUUUUUGUUUCUGGUUAGUGAAGCCAACCUUGAGCAGCCAGCUGACCCUCCAAUACCUGGAGUAUCUGCUAAAAUAAAUGAGGAGAAAACCCGUGUGGAUCUGAAGAUCUCCUCUGCUUCAGUAUCAGACUCUGCAAUGUACUACUGUGCCCUGAAGCCCACAGUGACAGGAAACCCCAAAACACUUUACAAGGGAUUCACAGGAAGAGUGCUGAAUGCGCAGUGGUACAGACAAUAUGCCGGAUCAAAUCCAAAGUUCCUCAUCUACAGCUAUCCUCAGGGAGGUACAUCCUUACCCCUAACACGGGCGUCUGUGAAUUUUGAUCAAGAUCUCCAACAAGUGCAUCUAAAGAUCUCAAAUUUUAAAUGGACAGAUUCAGCUGUGUACUACUGUGCACUGGAGCCCACAAUCACACGAAACUAA